rnacentral:rRNA from 1 species
UACGAAGGGGGCUAGCGUUGCUCGGAAUCACUGGGCGUAAAGCGCACGUAGGCGGCUUUUUAAGUCAGGGGUGAAAUCCUGGAGCUCAACUCCAGAACUGCCUUUGAUACUGGGAAGCUUGAGUCCGGGAGAGGUGAGUGGAACUCCGAGUGUAGAGGUGAAAUUCGUAGAUAUUGGGAGGAACACCAGUGGCGAAGGCGGCUCACUGGACCGGUUCUGACGCUGAGACGCGAAAGCGUGGGGAGCGAACAGG